rnacentral:rRNA from 1 species
GUUGGUCGUGAGGCUGACGAAAG